rnacentral:lncRNA from 1 species
CCCCUAGAAUUAGAAUAAAAAUGGAGGCUUUUGUUAUGCAAGGGUACUCUUAAAGACUUUCUUUCACGCGCGUCAUUCCCUAUGGAUUAAGAAGGAAGAAUGGAGGUUUAUAUCAUGUAAGGGCGCUUCUGAAGACUUCCCUUCAUGUGCAAUAUUCUCCCAUAAAUUGGAAUGACAAAGGGAGGCUUCUAUUACGCAAUAGUUCUCCCAAAGACUUCCCUUCACGCAUGACAUUCUUUGUGGAUUU